rnacentral:lncRNA from 1 species
UUUUUUGUUUUUUUUUUUUUUUUGGUGGUGGGAACUGCUUGUGGCAUAUGCAAGUUACUGAGCUAGAGGUUGAAUUAUAGCUGCAGCUGCCAGCCUACAUCACACCACAGAAACAUGGGAUCUGAGCUGCAUCUGUGACCUGCACCACAGCUCACAGCAAUGCCAAAUACUUAAUCUACUGAGCAAGGCCAGGGAUGAACCUGCAUCCUCAUGGUUACUAGUUGGGUUUAUUACUACUGAGUCACAAUGAGAACUCUUCUGCAAUCCAGUUUUUUUUUUUUUUUUUUUUUUUUUUUUUUUGUCUUUUGUCUUUUUGUUGCUGUUGUUGCUGUUGCUAUUUCUUGGGCCGCUCCCGCAGCAUAUGGAGGUUCCCAGGCUAGGGGUUGAAUCGGAGCCGUAGUCACCGGCCUACGCCAGAGCCACAGCAACGCGGGAUCCGAGCCGCGUCUGCAACCUACACCACAGCUCACGGCAACGCCGGAUCGUUAACCCACUGAGCAAGGGCAAGGACCGAACCCGCAACCUCAUGGUUCCUAGUCGGAUUCGUUAUCCACUGCACCACGAUGGGAACUCCUGUAAUCCAGUUUUUAAAAGAGCAAAUUAUUGAAUAGACACUUCACCAAACAAGAUAUAAGUAUGGUAAAUAAGGACAAAAAAGCUGUUCAAUAUCAUUAAAUAUUAGGGAAAUGCAAAAUUAAAAAUACAAUGAACUAUCACUAAUAUUCACUAGAAUAACUAAAAAUGAAAAGAUUGACAAUAUCAAAUGUUGAUGAGGAUGUACAGAUACUAGAACCCUUAUACAAUGCUGGUGGAAGGCAAAAUGAUAAGGCUGUUUUUAAAAAGUUUGGUCAGAGAGAGAAAGAAAAAUACUGAAUGAUUUCACUCAUAUGUGCAAUCUAAAAUACAAAACAAAUGAACAAACAAAACAAAAGAGGAACAGACUCAUAGAUACAGAGAACAAACUGAUGGUUGUCAGAGAGGUGAGGGAUGAACAGACAGAAAAAAGUAGGUGAAAGGGAUUAAAAGGUUUAAACCUCCAACUAUAAAAUAAAUGUCAUGAAGAUGUAAUGCACACAUAGGGAAUACAGUCAAUAAUAGUAUAACGACUUUGUAUGGUGACAGAUGGUGGCUGGACUUCAUAACGUAUAAAAAUAUUUAAUCAUUAUGUUGUACACCUGAAAAUAAUAAUAAUAUUGUAUGUCAAGUAUGAUCAUUAAAAAAUGAAAAUAAUACAAAGAAAAGAAACAGUGUGAUAGCUUAUUGUAAAAUAAAAUACACCUAUCAAAUCACUGAGUAACCCCACUCCUAGGAAUUUCAUCAAGAUAAAUAAAAACUUCUACUCAUAUGUGGACUUAUACAUGAAUGUUCAUAGCAGCUUUAUUCCAAAUAGCCAAAAUCUGGAAACAACUCAAAUGUUCAUCAAUAAGAGAGUGUGUACAUGUAUAGAAUAACCCACCAUUCAGCAAUUUAAAGGAACUAACUACAGGAUAAAAUUUACAUCAUGCUAAAGGAAAGAAACCAUGAACACAAAGCUAUAUUCAUUUAGUCUAUAGUUCUAUUAAUAUGAACCCCUAGAAUGGGCAGAAUAAUACUGACAGAAAGCAGACCAAUAAUUUUCAGUAACCAAGAGUUAGGUGGAAUUUAUCAACUACAAAGGGGCAAAGGAGAACAUUUGGAGAUGAUAGAAAUGUUAUAAAUCAUGGGUGUGGUGUUAGUUACAGGACUGUAUAUAUUUGUCAAAACUUGUGGAAUUAUAAAUUUAAAAUUAGAUUAUUAAAUAUAAAUUAUACCUCAAUAAAACAUUUUUUAAAGACUACAAGAUUUCAGAGUUCCCAACGUUGCUCAGUGGUAACGAACCUGACUAGUAUCCAAGAGGAUGUGGGUUCAAUCCCUGGCCUCGUUCUGUGGGUUAAGGAUCUUGCAUUGUUGUGAGCUGUCAUGUAGGUGAGAAGCUGUAGCUCCCAUAUGCCACAGGUGUGGCCCUAAAAAAAAAAAAGGACUACAAGAUUUCCACAUUUGUAAAUUUCAUAUAGCGUCUAUAAAAACUCUCAAUACUACCCCCUUUACCUAUAAUUCUUCUAUUAAAAUAAAAGCUGUAUUUUAAUAAAGUUAACAUAAAAGUAAUGUCUGCUAAUUAUUUUAUAAUUUAAAAAUGCAGAAAUGUACAAAAAAUAACUCUAUUACAAAGAUAUGCAUUUUCUUAUUUGCUAGUUUUCCUUCUUAUUUAUAGUUUCUAAUAUAAUUAUGAAUGAAUAAUAAAAAGCUGAACCAAAAUUUAUGUUUAAUAUUAUUUUUUAUUAUUAAAACUAUAAAGUUAAAACUUAAUAUAUAGUGGAUAUUUUGCUGGUCAAAAAACUCAAAAUUGGAGUUCCUAUCAUGGAUCAGCAGAAAUGAAUCUGACUGGUAUCCUUGAGUACACAGGUUCUAUCCGUGGCCUUGCUCAGUGGGUUAAGGAUAUAGUGGUGCUGUGAGUUGUGGUGUAGAUCACAGACGUGGCUUGGAUGUGGUGUUGCUGUGGCUAUGGCAUAGGCCAAGCCACAGCAACGCGGGAUCCGAGCCGCGUCUGCAACCUACACCACAGCUCACGGCAACGCCGGAUCGUUAACCCACUGAACAAGGCCAGGGAUCGAACCCACAACCUCAUGGCUCCUAGUCGGAUUCGUUAACCACUGCGCCACGACGGGAACUCCGAAAGAUGAUAUUUUUAAACCAUGAAGAUGCACAUAAAAAGAUUAAAAGCAAAAAUAGAUUUUAGAGAUUAAAAUAUGAUUACCAAGUUUAAAAAACUAAUAAAAUCCUGUGUAAAAGAAUGGAAGACGUUGAAGGCCAAAGUAAAAAUAUGAAAGAUAAGUAAAGGAAAUCUCCUAGAACUUAAUAUAAAAAGACAGAGUAUGAAGCUACAAGAGCAAAGAAAGGAUAUGGAAAUUGUGGCUAGAAAGAAAAGAAAGGAUUAGAAGAUAGACUUACAAUGUGAUUGCAGAAGGAACAGAUAGGAGAAGAUAAUCAAAGAAAUAACAGAAGAAAAUUUCCCUAAAAAUAAGAAGGUCUUGAAUGUAGUCAAUAAGAUUCUGUGAGUUUUAACUCUUUGUCAAGCACUGUUCUUAGCAUUUGUAGAUCAGUCAACAAAAUAGAAAACAAUCUCUGCCCUGUUGUAACUUGCAUUUCAGCAUGCUCAGCACAAAUAAUGAAAAAAAAAAACCAUACAUUUAGAUAGACCCCAUGACAUUUCUGAACUUCAAGGACAAAGAUAAUGUUCUAUGCUAGUAGGAGCCUAGGCUGGUAAGGAACAUUUAUCUGCAAAGCU